AUUGAACGCUGGCGGCAGGCUUAACACAUGCAAGUCGAGCGGAGAUGAGGUGCUUGCACCUUAUCUUAGCAGCGGACGGGUGAGUAAUGCAUCGGAACGUGCCCAGUCGUGGGGGAUAACGCAGCGAAAGCUGUGCUAAUACCGCAUACGAUCUGUGGGUGAAAGCGGGGGACCGUAAGGCCUCGCGCGAUUGGAGCGGCCGAUGUCAGAUUAGGUAGUUGGUGGGGUAAAGGCUCACCAAGCCGACGAUCUGUAGCUGGUCUGAGAGGACGACCAGCCACACUGGGACUGAGACACGGCCCAGACUCCUACGGGAGGCAGCAGUGAGGAAUUUUGGACAAUGGGCGCAAGCCUGAUCCAGCAAUGCCGCGUGCAGGAAGAAGGCCUUCGGGUUGUAAACUGCUUUUGUACGGAGCGAAAAGGCUCCCUCUAAUACAGGGGGCUCAUGACGGUACCGUAAGAAUAAGCACCGGCUAACUACGUGCCAGCCGCCGCGGUAAUAC
rnacentral:rRNA from 1 species